rnacentral:rRNA from 1 species
UUGAUGGCGACCGGCGCACGGGUGAGUAACACGUAUCCAACCUGCCGAUGACUCGGGGGAUAGCCUUUCGAAAGAAAGAUUAAUACCCGAUGGCAUAGUUCUUCCGCAUGGUGGAACUAUUAAAGAAUUUCGGUCAUCGAUGGGGAUGCGUUCCAUUAGGUUGUUGGCGGGGUAACGGCCCACCAAGCCUUCGAUGGAUAGGGGUUCUGAGAGGAAGGUCCCCCACAUUGGAACUGAGACACGGUCCAAACUCCUACGGGAGGCAGCAUG